rnacentral:rRNA from 1 species
UACGUAGGGAGCAAGCGUUGUCCGGAAUCAUUGGGCGUAAAGCGCGCGUAGGUGGCCAUGUAAGUCCGCUGUGAAAGUCAAAGGCUCAACCUUUGAAAGCCGGUGGAUACUGCACGGCUAGAGUACGGAAGAGGCGAGUGGAAUCCGUGGAUGUCAGCGGUGGAAUGACGCAGACUAUCGAGGAGGAACACCAAUAGGCGAAGGCAGGUCACUGG